rnacentral:rRNA from 1 species
GAUGAACGCUGGCGGCGUGCCUAAUACCUGCAAGUCGAGCGAAAAGAUGAGUAGUUUGCUCCUCGUACGUUCGCGGCGGACGGGUGAUGAACACGUGGAUAACCUACCUAUAAGAGUGGGAUAACUUCCGGAAACCGGAGCUAAAACCGGAUAAUAUAUUGAACUGCAUGGUUUAAUAGUGAGAUACGGUCUUGCUGUGAUGGAUAGAUGGAUCCGCGUCGCAUUAGCUAGUCUGUAAGGUAACGGCUUACCAAGGCAACGAUUCGUAGACGACCUGAGAGGGUGAUCAGCCACACCGGAACUGAGACACGGUCCAGACUCCUACGGGAGGCAGCAGUAGGGAAUCUUCCGCAAUGUGCGAAAGCCUAGCGGAGCAACGCCGCGUGAGUGAUGAAGGUCUUCUGAUAGUAAAACUCUGUUAUUAGGGAAGAACAAGAGUGUAAGUAACUAGGCACGUCUUGACGGUACCAAAUCAGAAAGCCACGGCUAACUACGUG